GGACAUAUGUCAUUAAUCGUGAGAACUAAGCCAAAGGAGAUGGAAUGAAUCAGUCUUACCAUAUCUCUACUUUGCAUUGCUUGCAUAUGUGAUAUUGUAUCUGUUUAACAAAACUACAUAUAUUGUAGGUUCAAAAAUGAAUUUCGCGAAGCUUCAAAGAGUUCUGCCUUAACUCAAAUUGAAGUUGCUUGAUAUCAUGAAAUAAGCAGCAUGCGUUUUGUCAAACAUAUUUGAAAUUUGCAAUUUGUAACUAGAUUUUUGUGCUGUUGUUUUCUCAUGCUUUGGCUUUUUUAAGUUCAUUAAGACUUUCUUUUUGCGGGUAAAAUUCAAAGGCUUAGGACCAUAAUGGAUAGAAGGUGCAAUCUUUUCCAUUUUGUAUAUGCUGCAGUUCAGACUAUUCAGAGCUAGAGCUAUCGUCAACAUUUUCCUACCACUCUCUGUAUGGCAUUAGCUCUUAUGUUUUCAGAACAUUGGGCUUGGGCUUAACUAACUCUGUUGACAAAUCACUAUCUUAUCUUAAAAUACAUCGGUGAUUACUAGAGUUCGAGAAAAAAGUUCUUUUAUUGCUUCCAGAGGAUCAAGAUAUGACAAAGUCUUUCAUGGGAUUCAAGAGAAACAUGCAACGCAUGUGGUGCCUUCUAUAAGUUGCCAAGUAGCUUCUUGGCAGCGGUUUGGAUUUAUUUGCUGCACCUAUAUGCUCGUUGAAGAGCAGCGAGAGGCUCUGGUUCAGGCAAGGCUUCAGGUUCUUCUUCCACCAUGGCAAGGACAGGAAGGAUCAGGACGAGAGCCCCAAGACGCGGUGGCUCAUGGAGGAGUACACCAGAGUAGCCUGCCUGGAGGAUGGCUUCGCCCGCGCGGACGGCAAGAAAGUUCUGCCGGCACUCUACAGGAUGUACCUCACCAGGCGCGAUCCUGGCAAGGAGAAGAACAGGAACAAGAAGCGAGACCGGGAUGUUGAUGGGGAGGAGAAGGACGGAGAAAUGGCCCUGGCCGGUUGGUAGUUUCCACGGAUUACUUUGACGAUGUCGCUGGAUUGCUGCUGUCGCCGCCGAGCGUUCUCAGUGUCGACCAAGAGCAGACAAAGGAUGCCCAAGAAGCGCCGCCACAGAGCGAGGAGAUGUUCUCGUGGACUCCUCUUGGAUCGACGAACACUGCUACAUUAAACCUGCUUCAGGACAUUCUUCGGUUAAUUCAAGUUUCAUUGCGACGAUUUGGCAUUGCUAAUUAUUUCAUUGCGAUGAUUUGGCAUUGCUAAUUAUUCUUGCGGUGGGCAUUGGAUGGAAGUGUCGGUGUGUUCAAUUGAUUUCUUGAAGCUAAUUAUUACUAGCAGGAGCUAGGAUGGGAUACGAUUUCUUCUUUGAUUGUCCAACAAAAUGUAUCCUUGUUUUGUGGAUGCAAAACUAUCAUGCUUAAUUUGGAGUUUGGUUUUUAUUCCUGCAAUUUACCCAUGUGGAGCAUACUCAUUCUGGUGUAUAGGAAGUUCACUAAUUGUAUAGAUGGCAGUGUACAGCAAAUUCAUUAAUUGUAAAAGUAGACAGCAAAUUACAGGCAUCUCACCUGGUAACAAGCCAAAAGAAAAGGAGAACAGGUACACAUAUAGGCAUCCAAAGCAUCAAACUACCGAGCGAACAGUAAACCAAGCCGCUCAGGAUCACCAGCAGCAACAAAAAGGCUAGCGUAUGAUUCAACCAGGUACCGGCGGAUUUCUCAAGCAAGUAAAAAUUAUCUAAUAUCAAAAGAUCCUUUCAUGUUUCAUCUGAUACAAAAGAAAAGAAAAUCACAUCUAGCUGAUUCAGGACAGCACACAAACAACAGAAGCUUUUCACCAGUUCGUAAGUUCUAAUCCCUUAAAACUAGAGGUAGCAGCAGAUGACAACAUGAUUCUUUGCUUAUACACUCGA